rnacentral:rRNA from 1 species
GUCGAGAAUCUUUCACAAUGGGGGCAACCCUGAUGGAGCGACGCCGCGUGGAGGAUAAGGUCUUCGGAUUGUAAACUCCUGUCAUGCGUGAACAAGGUUGCUUGGUUAAUACCUGGGCAAAUUGAUGGUAACGCAAGAGGAAGAGACGGCUAACUCUGUGCCAGCAGCCGCGGUAAUACAGAGGUCUCAAGCGUUGUUCGGAAUCACUGGGCGUAAAGGGUGCGUAGGUGGCGUGGUAAGUCAGAUGUGAAAGCACGGGGCUCAACCUCGGAACUGCAUCCGAUACUGCCAUGCUAGAGUACUGGAGAGGUGACUAGAAUUCUCGGUGUAGCAGUGAAAUGCGUAGAUAUCGAGAGGAAUACCAAAGGCGUAGGCAGGUCACUGGACAGUUACUGACACUGAGGCAUGAAGGCCAGGGGAGCGAACGGGAUUAGAAACCCCGGUAGUCC